rnacentral:rRNA from 1 species
AAUGAACGUUGGCGGCAUGGAUUAGGCAUGCAAGUCGAGCGCGAUUGACGAUGAAGCUUGCUUUAGCGUCAUGAAAGCGGCGAAAGGGAGAGUAACGCGUAGUUACAUGCCCUCGGGUCCGGAAUAGCUGCGGGAAACUGCAGGUAAUGCCGGAUAAUAUCUACGGAUCAAAGGUGUGAUUCCGCCCGAGGAGUGGACUGCGUCCUACUAGCUAGUUGGUGGGGUAAUGGCCUACCAAGGCGACGAUGGGUAGCGGGCGUGAGAGCGUGGUCCGUCUCACUGGGACUGAGACACUGCCCAGACACCUACGGGUGGCUGCAGUCGAGAAUCUUCGGCAAUGGACGAAAGUCUGACCGAGCGAUGCCGCGUGCGGGAUGAAGGCCUCGGGUUGUAAACCGCUGUCGUAGAGGAGAAAGGCUCUGUGAAGAGCAGAGUUUGAUCUAUUCUAGGAGGAAGUCCGGGCUAAGUUCGUGCCAGC